GCUCAGAUGGCGAAAUUGGUAGACGCUUCAGACUUAAACUCUGAUGAUUAUUACAAUCAUACGGGUUCGAUUCCCGCUCUGGGUA
rnacentral:tRNA from 1 species